GAUGAACGCUGGCGGCGUGCCUAAUACAUGCAAGUCGAGCGAACGGACGAGAAGCUUGCUUCUCUGAUGUUAGCGGCGGACGGGUGAGUAACACGUGGAUAACCUCCUUAUAAGACUGGGAUAACUUCGGGAAACCGGAGCUAAUACCGGAUAAUAUUUUGAACCGAAUGGUUCAAAAGUGAAAGACGGUUUUGCUGUCACUUAUAGAUGGAUCCGCGCUGCAUUAGCUAGUUGGUAAGGUAACGGCUUACCAAGGCAACGAUGCAUAGCCGACCUGAGAGGGUGAUCGGCCACACUGGAACUGAGACACGGUCCAGACUCCUACGGGAGGCAGCAGUAGGGAAUCUUCCGCAAUGGGCGAAAGCCUGACGGAGCAACGCCGCGUGAGUGAUGAAGGUCUUCGGAUCGUAAAACUCUGUUAUUAGGGAAGAACAUAUGUGUAAGUAACUGUGCACAUCUUGACGGUACCUAAUCAGAAAGCCACGGCUAACUACGUG
rnacentral:rRNA from 1 species